CGGAGAUGAAAGACUCGGGUGUGUCAUGUCAAUAUGUUGAAGGCCUAUGUUGUCAGGGUUGAGUCAAAACAUGUUGUUUCUCCUGUUGAUAUUGUUCAUCCUGUUAUGUCUCUUGCUUACUGCCCUGAGCAAGAUGAGGUGGAAGUAAAAGAUGCUCAGAUGUCAUGUAUUGGCCUGAAGAAUUCUGAUGUUUUAAAUAACCUUGAGGUUCAUCUUGCACACCUUUCUACGGAGCAAAGUAGGGAUGUUGUUAAACUACUUGGAGAACGUCCCACUUUAUUUUCAGAUGUACCACAACAAACUGCCGUGUUAACUCACGAUAUUGAUGUGGGAACUGCUGUACCUAUUAAGCAACAUCCUUACAGGGUUAACCCCAAGAAGAGAGAAGUUAUGCGGAUGGAGGUGGAGUAUCUGUUGCACUAUGGAUUGGCGGAACCUAGCAAGAGUCCCUGGAGUUCUCCUUGUUUGUUGGUGCCAAAGGCAGAUUCUUCAUUGCAGUUUUGUACGGAUUACCGUAAGGUAAAUGCUAUCACUAAGCCUGACUCUUUCCCCUUACCAAGGUUAGAGGAUUGUGUUGACCGGGUGGGUUCAUCGCAGUUUGUCACCAAGUUGGAUCUCCUUAAAGGUUACUGGCAAGUUCCUUUGACUGCUCGACCAUCAGAGAUUUCUGCUUUUGUGACUCCUGACAACUUUCUGCAGUAUAAGGUCAUGGCCUUUGGGAUGCGAAAUGCACCAACCACAUUUCAGAGGCUUAUGCAGGAAGUAUUGUCCGGGGCUUACUGAUUGUGAGGCCUACUAGGAUGAUAUUGUUAUCUUUUCACCUACGUGGAGGGAUCAUGUGGAAAAGAUGAACUGUGUGUUGGAUAGGUUGGCUGCUGCCAAUCUAACUUUAAACCUGGCCAAGUGUGAUUUUGCCAAGGCUUUUGUUACCGAUUUAGGCAAAAAGGUUGGGCAGGGACAGGUAUGUCCUGUGGAGGAAAAAAUAUCUGCCGUUGUUGAAUUUCCUAUUCCUACAACCAAAAGAGAACUGCGUAGAUUCCUGGGGAUGACCGGCUACUAUAGAGGUUUUUGUAAAAACUUUGCCUCUGUCGUUUCGCCACUUACAGACCUUCUUAGUACCUCUAAGA
ensembl:lncRNA